CAGUUCGGUCCCUAUCCGGCGCGGGCGUAGGAUAUUUGAGAGGAGCUGCCCUUAGUACGAGAGGACCGGGGUGGACUGGCCUCUGGUGUAUCUGUUGAACUAUCAAGUUCAUGGCAGAGUAGCCAAGCCGGGACGGGAUAAACGCUGAAGGCAUCUAAGCGUGAAGCCCCCCUCAAGAUGAGAUAUCCCAUACGCAAGUAGUAAGACCCCUUGAAGACGACGAGGUAGAUAGGGCAGAGGUGGAAGCGUAGUAAUACGUGAAGCUGACUGUUACUAAUCGGUCGAGGGCUUAACCAAAA
rnacentral:rRNA from 1 species